GCAGUCGAACGAUUAAAGCCCCUUCGGAGGUGUAUACAGUGGCGAAAGGGCGAGGAAUACGUUCCUACGUACCCCGAGGUCGAGGACAGCCCAGGGAAACCCGGUGUAAUACUCGAUGUGGUCCACCGCAAGGCGGAUCAAAGGCUUCGGCCGCCUUGGGAGCGGGGAACGUCCUAUCAGGUUGUUGGUGGGGUAACGGCUCACCAAGCCGAAGACGGGUAGCGGGUGUGAGAGCACGAACCGCCGCAUCGGGACUGAGACACUGCCCGGACUCCUACGGGAGGCUGCAGCAACGAAUCUUCCGCAAUGCGCGAAAGCGUGACGGAGCAAUGCCGCGUGCAGGAUGAAGCCCUUCGGGGUGUAAACUGCUGUCAGGGUCUAGCAACCCAAUGAGCAAACCCAAAGGAAGGGCCGGCUAACUUCGUGCCAGCAGCCGCGGUAAUACGAAGGGCCCGAGCGUUGCGCGAAAUCACUGGGCUUAAAGCGUACGUAGGCGGGCACGCAGGCACCUUGUGAAAUCCCUUGGCUCAACCAAGGAAUUGCUUGGUGAACCGCGUGCCUUGAGGCAAGUAGGGGCUGUCGGAACGAUAGGUGGAGCGGUGAAAUGCGUUGAUAUCUAUCGGAACGUCGAAGGCGAAGGCAGGCAGCUGGGCUUGUUCUGACGCUGAGGUACGAAAGCGUG
rnacentral:rRNA from 1 species